GUGAGGAAUAUUGCGCAAUGGAGGCAACUCUGACGCAGCCAUGCCGCGUGCAGGAAGAAGGCGCUACGCGUUGUAAACUGCUUUUAACCGGGAAGAAACCCCAGGACGUGUCCUGGGUUGACGGUACCGGAGGAAUAAGCACCGGCUAACUUCGUGCCAGCAGCCGCGGUAAUACGAAGGGUGCAAGCGUUAUCCGGAUUCAUUGGGUUUAAAGGGUGCGUAGGCGGAGCGUUAAGUCAGUGGUGAAAUCCUGCAGCUUAAGUGUAGACUUGCCAUUGAUACUGGCGCUCUUGAGUGCGCUUGAAGUGGGCGGAAUGUGCCGUGUAGCGGUGAAAUGCUUAGAUAUGGCACAGAACACCAAUUGCGAAGGCAGCUCACUAAGGCGAUACUGACGCUGAGGCACGAAAGCGUGGGGAUCGAACAGGAUUAGAUACCCGAGUAGUCC
rnacentral:rRNA from 1 species